rnacentral:rRNA from 1 species
GCUGACUAAACGACGAAACACAAAUAUAUCCUUCCUAACAAACAAAUCAUUUGUCCUACCUAGUAGUUACGAUCGAACAGUUCACCAACGUCACAAUAAAGUACCGCAAGGGAAUAACCUAAGCAAUGAACAGCAAAGACUAGCCCUUGUACCUUUCGCAUCAUGGUUUAGCAAGAACACAAGGACAAGAAGAAUCACAGCCCUUUACCCCGAAACCGAACGAGCUAUUUCUAAGCAGUCUAACGGACGCACCCUUCUAUGUGGCAAAAUAGUGGGAAGACUUUAAAAUAGAGGUGAAAUGCCUAUCGAGUUCGGAGAUAGCUGGCUACCCCAAACAGAAUCUAAGUUCUACUUUAGAACCACACUUAACCAAUUAACCAUCUAAAGAUAAUCAAUAGAGGUACAGCUCUAUUGAUUCAGGAUACAACCUGAAUUUGCAAGAAACUUUACCCCCCCCCACCCCGUAGGCCUUUUAGCAGCCACCCUAAAAAAUAUCGUCAAAGAAUUAACCUAAACAAAUCCAAAAUCAACCAAAAACUUCAAACUAACUAAAGGUGGACCUACACAAGUAGAUAUCAUUAUGCUAAAACUAAUAAUAAGACCACGUCUCUUUACGCACCCCUCCGCUAGAAAUAGAAAAACUACUAGUAAUUAACAGACCACAAAAGGCAAUAUAACAAACCAAUACCCACCUUCAAAUUGACUGUGACCCCGACACAGGAGCGUUAAAAAGAAAGAUUAAAUGUUAUAAAAGGAACUAGGCAAUCAGGGGCUCCAACUGUUUAACAAAAACAUAACCUUUAGCCAAACAAGUAUUAAAGGCAACGCCUGCCCAGUGAGUAAUUAAACGGCCGCGGUAUCCUAACCGUGCAAAGGUAGCAUAAUCAUUUGUCUAUUAAUUGUAGACCUGUAUGAAAGGCAAAAUGAGAGCCCAACUGUCUCUUAUAACAAAUCAAUUAAACUGAUCUCCUAGUCCAAAAGCUAGAAUAUCGACAUAAGACCAGAAGACCCUGUGAAGCUUUAACAAACCUAUUAAACCCAAUAAUAACUACUUUCGGUUGGGGCGACCCUGGAAUAAAAAAGAACUUCCAGCAUAUGACUCCCUCAUUAAAUAGGCAAACAAGCCAAUACUAGACCCAGUAUAACUGACAAUUGAAAUAAGUUACUCCAGGGAUAACAGCGCCAUCUUCUUUAAGAGCCCAUAUCAAAAAGAAGGUUUACGACCUCGAUGUUGGAUCAGGACAUCCCAGUAAUGCAACCGUUACUAAAGGUUCGUUUGUUCAACGAUUAAUAGUCCUACGUGAUCUGAGUUCAGACCGGAGCAAUCCAGGUCAGUUUCUAUCUAUGAAUGCCUUACCCAGUACGAAAGGACCGGCAAAGCAAAGCCAAUACCACACAUACGCUUUAUCCAUAAAAUACACACUCAUUACUAAACGACCCACCCCCCCAACCAAGAUAAGGUUAAUUAAGGAUCACACUCGCCUUA